rnacentral:rRNA from 1 species
AUGGAUUGUACCACGGAUGUGGGCCAUGAAGAACAAGUGACUCUAAUUGUGCGUUGUGUGAACAUGUCAAGUAACUUUCCGGGAGUGGAGGAGUUUUUCCUAGAGUUCUUAAAGGUUGAUGACAUGUAUGAAUUGGGGUUUAAGGUAUUGAUGGAUACAUUGGGUUCUCUUGAUUUGGACUUCUCUGUUGUGAGAAGUCAAGGUUAUAACAAUGGUUCCAAUAUGAACAGAAAAGGCAAAAAUGUUCAGAAUCAUUUGCUUGAAAUUAACAAAUCAUUAUAUAUGCCAUGUGCAUGUCAUAGUUUCAAUCUCACUCUUUUUGAUAUGGAAAAAUCUUUCAAACAAGCUAUUACAUUCUUCGGUGUUAUCACAAUGGAUAUACAUAUUGUUUUCACGUUCUACUCGAGGGGUAGGAUUUGCUUGAGAAUGUUCGAAAACUUACUGUCAAACCUUUGUCUAGCACUUGUUGGGAGAGUCUAA